rnacentral:lncRNA from 1 species
GGCCGGGGGAUGGGGGGAGGUUAGGUAUUUUUAAAGAAAACUCAUAGGGAGAGGCUAACAUUGGAAUAAAUGCUUGCCCAUUAAAUUCAACUCUACACUUUGAAAGUAGGACAGGUGAGAACGGUAAAAGGAUUUAAAGUUAUUAUUAUUUUUUUUCCCAUGGAUUCAUUCUAUGUCGUGAAGUAAAUCACUUUUUUUCCAUACGAACAUACAGUUGUAAGGACUGAUAAUACGAUGUCUCCGAAAGAUGAUGGAAGAAUUUAUUUAUCCCAAGCACAUUGUGCAUUUUGAGUUUCAUGGAUUAAGCACGUAAAAGUAAAAUAGGGAUCUUUAUUAUUGAAAUAAUUGCUGUCAUGGAACAGGCAGCCUGCUGCUCUUUGCUCUUCCUGAAAGUUGGGAGGGAUCACCAUUGCUCCACAUUGCAGAUGGGAACCUAGGCCAUCUAGGUUUUGUUUUGGUCGGAGGGUGGGUCCGUGGUGAUGACUGAAUUAGGAAAGAUGUAACAGGGCAUGAAGCAACAGUAACGGGAAGGGCCACUUUUACUCAAGGAGAUGCUUCCAAGUCAAGUUUUACUAUAGACUCAAACCGCAGUUACUUCCCACCACGAGGGAACCCCUUCUGGUGACUCUAUUUGAACAUGCUUGAAAUAGAAAUUCCGUGCUGGUUUCGGUGGAGCUCAAGCUUUGGAGGACAAGAUGUGCUGAUCAUUAUCUUAACAUCUGAUGAUGGUGGGAGUACCUGGAGGAGUAGUUAACAGAAUCCAUCCUUCUGGAUUCCACGGUAACAUUGACACCACACUCUCAGUAGAGGAAUUCUGCAAAAACUGCAUUUGGCAGCCUUGCAGUUAGCUUAAAAUACUUCAGCUCACAAAAUUCUUUACAAGCUUUCUUAGCACAGAAGGAGUAAACUGCAAAUGAAGUAUGUGUUCUUUUUGUCUAAUAAGUGCUGUCACUUUUUAUUAGAUAUUAUGUAUCUGUGGACCAACU